CUAAAAACAAAUAUCUUCUAAAUAUACCCCUUCAAUAGAGAGCUAGAGAAUAAAUACAAAAAAAACGGAUUAAAUACUUCCCUGAACGAGACAGCAGAACUGUGUGAGGCACCAGCCAACUCCCCACGCCUCCCGAAGGGACCGGAGACAACGGCAGAUUGGAGCAGACAGGCCUUGGCCUAUACAAGCAAAGACCAUCUGUGGAGAGACCUGUCACCUUCAGCCACCGGAAGACAGAAGAGAAUGAUCUAUAAUGUGACUUUGAAGGUUGACUUAAACGAAAAAAAAGAAUCGCAGAAUCACAAAAUAG